CAGCAGCCGCGGGAAUACGGAGGGUGCAAGCGUUAUCCGGAUUUAUUGGGUUUAAAGGGUCCGUAGGCGGAUCUGUAAGUCAGUGGUGAAAUCUCACAGCUUAACUGUGAAACUGCCAUUGAUACUGCAGGUCUUGAGUAAAUUUGAAGUGGCUGGAAUAAGUAGUGUAGCGGUGAAAUGCAUAGAUAUUACUUAGAACACCAAUUGCGAAGGCAGGUCACUAAGAUUUAACUGACGCUGAUGGACGAAAGCGUGGGGAGCAAACAGGAUUAGAUACCCCCGUAGUCCCUGUCUCUUAUAC
rnacentral:rRNA from 1 species